ACAAGAUAGAAGAUUUCCUGGUUAUAGUUGUUCAGCCGGUCGAGAUGCGAGGAUGGGAAACACUUGGCUUUACGUGCUAUUCUUGUUCAGUUCAGUCACCAGUGGACACAACAAGGUUUCCCAUAGAGCCACUGUGACCCUGAGACCAAACUGGCCUCUGAUAUACAAAGGAGAGAGUCUUGCUCUCCGGUGUGAGAUCUCAGGAGGAGAAGGAAUAAGGUGGACGUAUGAAUGGAGAACAACCAGGUUAAAUAAACCUCAAACAUCCCAGGAA